rnacentral:rRNA from 1 species
UUUUAUCCUGGCUCAGGAUGAACGCUGGCGGCGUGCCUAAUACAUCCAAGUCGAGCGAACAGAUAAGGAGCUUGCUCCUUUGACGUUAGCGGCGGACGGGUGAGUAACACGUGGGUAACCUACCUAUAAGACUGGGAUAACUUCGGGAAACCGGAGCUAAUACCGGAUAACAUUUGGAACCGCAUGGUUCUAAAGUGAAAGAUGGUUUUGCUAUCACUUAUAGAUGGACCCGCGCCGUAUUAGCUAGUUGGUAAGGUAACGGCUUACCAAGGCAACGAUACGUAGCCGACCUGAGAGGGUGAUCGGCCACACUGGAACUGAGACACGGUCCAGACUCCUACGGGAGGCAGCAGUAGGGAAUCUUCCGCAAUGGGCGAAAGCCUGACGGAGCAACGCCGCGUGAGUGAUGAAGGGUUUCGGCUCGUAAAACUCUGUUAUUAGGGAAGAACAAAU